UAGGGAAUCUUCCGCAAUGGACGCAAGUCUGACGGAGCAACGCCGCGUGAGUGAAGAAGGUUUUCGGAUCGUAAAACUCUGUUGUUAGAGAAGAACAAGUGCUAGAGUAACUGUUAGCGCCUUGACGGUAUCUAACCAGAAAGCCACGGCUAACUACGUGCCAGCAGCCGCGGUAAUACGUAGGUGGCAAGCGUUGUCCGGAUUUAUUGGGCGUAAAGCGAGCGCAGGCGGUUCCUUAAGUCUGAUGUGAAAGCCCCCGGCUCAACCGGGGAGGGUCAUUGGAAACUGGGGAACUUGAGUGCAGAAGAGGAGAGUGGAAUUCCAUGUGUAGCGGUGAAAUGCGUAGAUAUAUGGAGGAACACCAGUGGCGAAGGCGACUCUCUGGUCUGUAACUGACGCUGAGGCUCGAAAGCGUGGGUAGCAAACAGGAUUAGAUACCCUGGUAGUCCACGCCGUAAACGAUGAGUGCUAAGUGUUGGAGGGUUUCCGCCCUUCAGUGCUGCAGUUAACGCAUUAAGCACUCCGCCUGGGGAGUACGACCGCAAGGUUG
rnacentral:rRNA from 1 species